rnacentral:rRNA from 1 species
CGUAGGGUGCAAGCGUUAAUCGGAAUUACUGGGCGUAAAGCGUGCGCAGGCGGCUUUGCAAGACAGAUGUGAAAUCCCCGGGCUUAACCUGGGAACUGCAUUUGUGACUGCAUGGCUGGAGUGCGGCAGAGGGGGGAUGGAAUUCCGCGUGUAGCAGUGAAAUGCGUAGAUAUGCGGAGGAACACCGAUGGCGAAGGCAAUCCCCUGGGCCUGCACUGACGCUCAUGCACGAAAGCGUGGGGAGCAAACAGGAUUAGAUACCCUGGUAGUCCACGCCCUAAACGAUGUCAACUGGUUGUUGGACGGCUUGCUGUUCAGUAACGAAGCUAACGCGUGAAGUUGACCGCCUGGGGAGUACGGCCGCAAGGUUG